rnacentral:sRNA from 1 species
CCAGGGGUUGAAACCCCUGGCUAUUAUCUGUCGUCCCUAAAGGGACU